GUUGUUGCUGCUGGAAGGAACACAAAUUCUUUCUUCCUUCAAACCAGUCUGCGAGAAGCUGCAAACUGUGGGUUCUUCAUUCGGUAAAGGCGUGAAAGGCCAUGACAUUAUCCAAUACUUAAACUAUUGUUCUUUACAGCUAAACUCUUGGUGCCGAUGCCUACAAAUGGGUCUCAAAUGACGGACAUAGAUAGUUCACUUAGAGAAUUCACUUCUUCUGAACGGGCUGGUCGAAGGGAUGCAUUACCUGACAUUACAGAUUUACAGGAGCCUUCAAGGGACAACGUGGUCAAAAGCAGUUUAACUGUAAACAUGACAAAGCUUACAAUCAAAUCUGAAGAACGCAUUGAAGAUACAAAGCCUGUUACAGAAGCUCAGGCUCCUUGUCAAGUAGAGAACCAGGAGACAUCGUCUCAGUGCGAGGAUGGUUGUGAAAACCAAUGACGAAUGUAUAUCUGGUUUUGAUCAUCCACGAGCUAAGAAUUUCUCAGAAUAUAACUCAUUUCAAUACCAAAAGGAUAUUUGGAGGAGUUGUGGAAUUCAAAGGAAAUGGUGCAUUUGAUUUAUUGACACCAAUUAGCAUUUUUGAUUUAUGUUCUAAACACUGAUAUAUUUUACUGUAGCUAAGGUACAUGAUAACUGGUUUCUGUAGAUUAAAAAUAAAAUUGAAGUUGUUGCAUUUAAUUGAAUAACAUUUAAUACCUAUACAGAUUAUUUGAUUCCUUUCAGAUCUCUUGAUACGUUAAAACCAGACAUUAAUUUGUAAGAAAUUUGGAAAAAUAUUAUCAGACUCUUUAUUAUAUCAUCAAUUGGGGACCAGAACUCCACAAAAAAUUAUUUGCAGAUAUUCCACAGUGUGAUGUAAGUCUUCUUUAAAAAAUAGCACAUGGUAUUUUAUAGUCAAAGGUUAUACAGAUGCCAUCAGUCAUUUGCCCAUUUCUGGGUAUUUGCAAUGGAACUUGCUAUGAACAGGUAACCACUUUGGAGCAGUAAAUUCUAUAAUGGAUUUAGAAGCCGUGAACAGAGAAAACAACUGAAUUUCUUCCUGACCAGUCAUUUGUAGAAUUGUUAGUGAACAUGAGAGCCUGAGCCAGGAAAUACACAUUAGAAUCAUUUACUCAAUAAUAUGUACAGAUAACGGGACAGACUGAAAGAAAGGUAGUAUGGAAAGAGGAAUGUAAGUGAGACAGAGUACACCAAUUUCAUGCUUAUUGUAAUUUAAUGCCACAUGUUUAGAUGGUUGUAUAAAAAAUUCUAGAGGAGCAGGGUAACUCCACAUGCUAUCUCCUAAUUACUGCAUGUAACUAAACGUGUAAGGUAACAAGAUAUUAAUAAUAAGUACAAAAACCAGCAAAAUCCAGUGUCCACUAGCUUGCAAAAACAUAAGGCAAAUUAGUUCCUUUAUAUACAAGGUGUCUGAUAUUCUAGACAUUUUAAAUUUCACCUGGUAUACUUGUAUGAAAAUCAAUAAAUGCAGUUUAGGUUCAAAAGUCUUAAUCUACGCAUAGUGUACAACAAGUUCAUUACAUUAGCACAUGGUUAAAUUGAAUGCAAGCCCUUCCACAGCUGGUUGCUGAUCAAUUGGUCUGCUUGCAAAAGAUUUUAUUCUCUCAUUGAAGAAGUGGAUUUCUUUAUUCUGAGGCCUGUUCGGUUUGUACAUCAAAGAUUUCAAUAUAAAAACUGAAGGAACUGGUUGGAAAAAAUAACAAAAUCAAAGACACAUUUUAAUCCUUCAGGUGUCCAAAGGUAUAUUAUUGAGAGGUAGGAAUAGACUUAAGAAGUUGGAAUUCAACAUAAAUAAGUACAAAGUGAUGCAUUUUGGUUGGGCAACAAUUAAAAAGAUUCUUCCUGGAAUGGAAGUACAUUCAGUGGUUUGGAAAAAUACAUUUGGAGCAAUAAAGAGAGCCUUCUUAAUUAUUUAGUAUGUUUUUUUAGAAAGGGGAUUUUGGGGUUUUAUGAUACUAAAUAUCCAAGAUAAAAUUGUGACCCUAACUUUUUAAAGAGAGAGAGGGUAGUGCAGUACAGAUACAGGCCCUUUGGCUAAUCAAUCCACACCAAACAUCAAACACUUAUUUUUACACAAGUCCUACCCUGUCCUAUUUAUUUCUCCUCAUAUCCCUUUGUUGCUUUACACUCUUCACCAGGGGAAUUCUUGUUCUGAGUUCCUGAACUUGUAUGUUGUACAUUCAAAAACACAAAAAUAUCCCAAUUCACUUCAUUGGUGCAUUAACAAAUAAAAAAAAUGACAUUGAUAUUAUAAGGAAAUUAUUAAGAAAGAGGACUAAAUGAAUGAUUAAAGCAUGGGUUUGAAGGACUUUCCUGAAUUGAAUAUGAGAAAAAUUCAGUUUAGGCCAUUUGCUAGUCAAAGGGCUGUCACCAAUAAUAAUGCGACUAAAUUUUAGAUAAGUUCAAGAGAGCAGAAUUGGAGGAGCGCAGAUGUCUCUGACAGAGCUGUGGGGGGGGGGGAGAUUAUACAUACAGAGGGGUACAACUCAUAAGGACUUUAAAACAAGGAUGAAAAUUUUAAGUUGAUGCAUAAUUGGGAGCCAGGAUCAAUCAUCAAGUACAGGAGAAAUGGUUGGAUCAGAUUUGAUGUGAGUUUGAGUAUAAGCAGCAGAGAGAACCAGCUGGAUUAGUUUGGUCAAAGCUAACAAAAUCAUAGAUGAAGGCAUCAGAGGCAGAUGAGUCAAGGCAGGGACAGUGAAUAUGUGAUAAUCAGAAUUAGGCUUAGGUGCAAAUCUCGGGAUUAAAUGGGAUGAUAGGGUCAUGAACAGUACGUACCGUUUCUGAAUAAAGGCCAUGCCAUCGUGUACCUGAGGAAAGAGGAUUCAGAUGAUCUAAGGUUCUGGGAUCAGUCUUUCCAAUGCUUAGUCAUUUGGAUUAGUGCUUGGUCCAUGUCCACAUUCAUUUGGAAGGAAUUUUGUCCAGUGUUUUCAGAGGAUGAUGUCAGCAUCAGAGCUUAAUUAGAUAGGACAUUGUUUACCAAAAAUCAGUGGAAAUACUGUUUAUGGAGCAUGAUUGAAGUUUUUAUCAAGAUAAUAGCAGGAAAUUGGGGUGAACACUGUGGACAUUAGCAAAGUGUUCAGUGGAGAAUCAGACUACUGUUUAUGCCUGAUAGGUGAAAAUUCAAGGCACUAAUCUGCCACCUUGAAUGUCUUGAACUGGUUUAAGUACGUAGCAAGUAGCAAUAUCUUUCUGUGGCAAUUUGUGCUUUUAUCCAUUAGACAACAAAAUCACUUAAAAAUGUCAGGUUCCUAGAGGGUUACUCUGGAGAAAUUUAGAAUGAGUGUCCAAGGAGGCAAAACUAAAUGUGGAAGACUUAGUACACAGUAAGAAUCCUGUUGCACAAAAUGUCAAACCUUAAAUUCCUUUCCAUCAUAAACAAUAUCAAGUUAGUCAGCAAUUUCUUUAUAGCUUUCACUGAGGGGAUGAUUCUUAAACAUUGUACCAGAAACUCUAAUUAGCAGUUGUGAAAUGUGGAUUUCCUCUGUACUUUUACCAAUGUCAUGCGUAAGAAUAGUUCUGUGGUAACGCUAGGCUGCUGCUAACAUGGUGGAUGAAUGAGAAGGUAUAAAAACAUGGGGAGAAUUCGAUUAUGCCUUUAUAUAUUUAAUUGCAUUAUUUAAACUGAGAAGUUCUGUGAGCAGAUUAUUUAUCCCUUGAAAAGCUGUUCUGAAAUUUAGUGAAGUCACUACUGACCAUGACUAAAAACUCAUAAACCUGCCUUUGUCACAUAUUCCUUAAUAUCUUAGUGAUAGUUAACAAAUUUCACAACAUAUGCCAGUGAUAAUAAACCUGAUUUAGAUUCUGAUAGUAUAUUAGUGUCAGUCUUAUAAUUAACGAUCCACCAAACAAGCUCUUUGCAGGAGAAACUAUUCCCAUCACUCCUGAAUGACACAGCACUCCUUUAAUUUUAUUUCCCAUUCCCAGCUGCUAUAACCAAUUGAAGAUGGAGAAAUACCACUGGUUUCCUGUAAUAUCUUGAAAAUAUAAUCUGACUAAUUAGCCAUCAUUAAACAUCAAAAUUUCAGGGAACAUAAGCCUAUUUUGCUUUCAUAUUUCCUUAUAACAUAGAGAGUCACUUCGGCCCAUCAAAUUCAUGCUGGUCUACAAAGCAAUCCUUUUCCCCCCCACUAAUAUUCCAAGUACAAGUUUCCAGGCUAUAACAGGGUUCAGUUUCCAAUAACUCUUUAGAUAGGUAGAUAGAUAUGUUAUUGAUUCCAAAGGAAGUUCCGGUGUCACAGUAGCAUUACAAGUUCAAAGAUGUACAAUAUUAGAAGAGAAGAAGAAUAAAUAAAAAAAUAAGUUACCUUACACAGGAGGGCUUCAUCACUCUGCCUAUAGGUUGAUUCAUUAUAGAGUCUUAUGGCCAAGGGUAAGGAUGACCUCAUAUACCACUCUUUGGAGCAGUGCAGUUGUCAGCCUAUUAGUGAAAUUGCCCCUCUGUUCUGCCAAGUUAACAGGCAAAGGGUGAGAAACAUUGUCCAGAAUUGCCAGGGUUUUCCAUAGGGUCCUUUGUUCUACCACAGCCUCCAGUGUGUCCAGUUUGACUCCUAUAACAGAGCCAGCCUUCCUAAUCAGUUUAUUGAGUCUGUUGGCAUCACCCGUGUUGGUGCCAUUGCCCCAGUAUACCACCACAGAGAAGAUUGUACUGGCAAAAACAGACAGGUAGAACGUUUGAAGAAGAGGCCUGCAUACUCCAAAGGACCUCAGUCUCCUCAGGAAGUAGAGGCAGAAAUGUCAAGAAAUCAACAACAAAAAAGCUUGUGGGAGAGGGUCACAGAAAGUGACUGUGACAGGACAGUGAGCCGUCUCACUGACGUGAGUAAGCCUGUGAAACAGCUCAGCACUCCCAAUUCUGUUUGCCUUAACCGAGCUCGCAAUUGCUGUGCGAGGCUGAGGGGAGAAGACAAGUGGAAAUACACCAUUUACACCUGGUAGAAGGUACCUGCAGCCUCGCAGCAGCCAGCAAAUCCAUCCACCCAGCCUCCCAGAUGCUCACUCUUUUGUAUGAACUGUCUACAAGUCGGGAGUUUGUAAUCUGGAGAGGACAUGUAACUUAUCCACAUUCUCAUUAAUUUUGCCUCCCCUCCCCCCCAAAUUCACUCACUAAACUACCCACUAGGGACAACUUAGUAGUCAAUUUGCUUAACAACCUGCAUAACUGGAGGAUAGGAGAGCUCCAGGAAGAAACUCCUCGCAUUAUAGAGAGAAAGCACGUACUGACAGAACCAGGGGGUCAGGGUUGAAUCUUGGUCACUGAACCAAUGGGGCAGUAGCUCUGCUAGCUUUAUCACCUUUGUGUAAUCCAGCCGUACAAUUAAUCAUUUAGGAUCAAAGUAUAAUUCCACAUCAUCUACACACUAAGCCUCUGGAUGUCUUGUUGCUCUUCGAGGGAGCAGGAUCCAGGAAUGCUCUAUCUUUCAGGUAUGAUCCAACCUGGUCUUUGUUAAUGUGCAGCAUAAUAUCUAUUACGUUAUUAUCCUUUAAAUAUAUAGGACAGUAUAACUAACAUUUCAGGUAUUUUCUAUAUUUGUGCACGUUAUUUUACAGAUCCUUGUGAAGAUGCUACUAAAUCCCUUCUGGAGCAUCUCCAUAUCUAGGUUUUUGCUUAGAAUUUCUGUUUUAUCCUUGUGUCCUUGUACUUGUGUAUAAGAUGGAGAGGCACUGAUCAUGUGGAUAGGCAGAGAAAUGGCUAACAUGAGAGGGCACAGUUUUAAGGUGCUUGGAAGUAGGUUCAGAGGAGAUGUCAGAGUUAAGUUUUUUACGCAGAGAGUGGUGAGUGUGUGGAAUGGGCUGCUGGCAACGGUGGUGGAGAUGGAUACGAUAGGAUCUUUUCAGAGACUCCUGGAUAGGUACAUGGAGCUCAGAAAAAUAGAGGGCUAUGGGUAACCCCAUGUAAUUUCAUGUUCGGCAUAGCAUUGUGGGCCAAAGGGCCUAUAUUGUUCCGUAGGUUUUCUAUGUUACCUCUAUUGAAAUCUACUUGCAACAGUUAUGCCCACUGGCCUAUCUAUUGAUAUCCCUUUGUAAUCCUCUGCUUCCACAUACUCCGUUUAUAAUGCUACCAAUCAAUGUUAUUGAGGAGUUUUCUAGCUCAUCAUCUGUUUACAAUUGUUGAGAUUAGUUCAGGCCCAUUAAUCAUGCAGUAACAGGAUACCAUUAAUCAUGUAAUACUAGUAAAGCAUCAACUCUGUCACUAAUCUGUCCCUUGGUAUUUGGCCAGUUUCCUGAUGACUGCUACAACAAAAAUAUGCAUUCUACACAGAACGAAAUGCCAUAAGGAUGUGUUGUUAUAUUUUCUUCCAAUGGAAUUCUACACAGGAAACAGUAUUGCAAAACUAUAAUCAUUCAUUGUCACUUUGGUAAUCUUUUCAAGUACACUAAGCAUAAAAUUACUUGCAUUAAGUUCACUAUUACAUUUACGGUUCAUAUUUAACAAUCUCUCGAGGACCACAUUUAUAUGCAUCGUACUUCAGUACUUCCUUGCUGCACAAUGGCAUGACAAUAAUUUAUUAGAUCUUUUUAACCCUGAUUAAGUUGGAGCAUUGCCAUCCUAUAUACAUUUGUAGAGCUGUCUGGUACAUGUGGACUAUUUUGUUCUAAACAGCUACAGAGGCGGUGUUUAAAUUUUUAUUCACAAUUAAAGGAUAGCUUUAUUAUGUUCUAGUGUACAUUCAAGUUAUUUUGUCUAAACAGCUCUAGAAGCAGAAUCUAAAUUAAUAUUCACCAUUAAAGGAUAACUUUAUUCUGUUCUACAGCAUAUAGUCAAGUUCUAUAUUCUCAAUGUAUAAAAUUAAAUGUUCCUGUUUAAGGCUUUGCAUGGAAUAAUAAGAGUAUUUCAGUUUGUGGAUUUUUAAACUGAUAAACCAAGUCUAAAAAUGACACUUAUUAAUAAAGCUAUUCAUAAAAUGCAUACAUUUAGUAAUUAAACAGAAAUAUUGGGAACUUGAGAAUCCCAUUAAUAACUGUUUAUUUAUUCUUCAUUGUUAAGUAAUGUGAAUUGAAAAAGUACUCAACUAUUGAUGAAAGAGGCAUUGCUAUAUCUUCCUGCUUAAAGCAAUUUAUGUAAAUAUGCCUGCCAUUUAAUAAAGUUAUUUAUACAAUUUGUUUUGAAAAUACUAUUUA